AUCAUUAAAAUUAGGUUCAAGACAUAAGCAUGCCGAGGUAGCUCAGAUAUGUAUCAUAUCAAGAUUUAAAGGCUUCAGUUUGCAAAAACAUAUAUGUUUGUCCUACUCUAGUCUGUAAAAAAAAUUUUAACAGUUCACUAGGCAGAUUAUAAGACAACAUGGAAGAUUAUUGUCACUAUAGUUAGUUCUACUCAAACAGAAUUUCAAACAGAAAAGGUCAAAUAUACACUAGAUGGGAUCUGCACACCCAUAAAACCAAUGUGGGAGUUGUUACUACAAGUAAACAACGGCACAAACUACUGGAGAUUGAUUACAUCCAUAUACACCAUGGAAACAGUCCCAAGUACAAUGCCAAACGAAGCACAACAUCAAUUUCAAUAAGAAAUCAUAUUCAGACACCCUGCUACCAUAAAUCUAAAAUGUAAAAAGACACUCUAUUGGCAGCUAAAAUAUUCAGUUUGCAAGACUCAGGUUUUCACCGAGACAAUGACACUUACUUUAAGGGGGAACAAAUUAGGAACACAGAGUGGUCACCAAUUCAUUCAUGUUGUAUUGGUAUUACAAUAAAUGAGAUAAAUAGGAAGUGAUUUGGUUGCUGUCAAAAGUCAGAGUCAGUGCUAAAAUUUCAAGUAAAAAGUUGAUUCAUAAUUUUUUUUUUCAUAAGAAUAUGGACAUUUCCUCGAGAUGAAGCUAAUUCUACUUUAUCUUACUGAAUAAAACAUAGUCAAGGCAAUAAUUAUGCAUCUUAAAUCAUGCCAAAAUGGUUAUUGAAACCCAAAAGCUGAUUGCUUGAAUCAAUUUCUUCUAAUAUAAUUUCUUUUUAAUUUAGUAUUAGAUUUUUAAUUUUAAAAUACCAAACUUAGAUCCUAAUGAUCCGUAAUUAAUGGAGCAGGAGCACAUCUGAAUUCCAAAGCAGCUGAAACAUUGCAGAGGAGAUAUUGAUAAUAUAUAUAUAUAUAGGUGGCCAAGAUAAAAUAAUACCAGAAAGCAGUGAAAUUGAAGAAGGUGGACGCGGUGGCCAUGGCAGUAAUUGAGCCGGCUGCAAAAAUACACUGUGAAAUCCUCAAGCCAAGAGCAGUCAAUGUCCCUGGAGUUCCAGCAAAAUCCUUCAUUUUUUCCCUUUCUGCGGCCUCCACCAAACCCAGUAAAAUUCGGCUUCCUAAUCAAUCAAUGAAAUUCCCCAUAUCCCAAUAUGACCAGAAACAAAAAAGCAAAAUUCUUUCAACUCCAAAGACCAAUCUUUACUGAAAUUGGAUGCAAUCCAGGAGUAAAAAAGAGAGAACCAGAAAAAUUGAACGAUUGAGGAAGU
rnacentral:misc_RNA from 1 species